CGACCUGCAGGCGGCCGCACUAGUGAUUUGACUAAGCCAUGCGAGUCAUAUGUUCUUCGUGAACAUGGCGUACUGCUCAGUAACACGUGGAUAACCUGCCCUUGGGACCGGGAUAACCCCGGGAAACUGGGGAUAAUACCGGAUAACGCAUAUCUGCUGGAAUGCUUUAUGCGUAAAAUGGAUUUGUCUGCCCAAGGAUGGGUCUGCGGCCUAUCAGGUAGUAGUGGGUGUAAUGUACCUACUAGCCUACGACGGGUACGGGUUGUGAGAGCAAGAGCCCGGAGAUGGAUUCUGAGACAUGAAUCUAGGCCCUACGGGGCGCAGCAGGCGCGAAAACUUUACAAUGCGGGAAACCGUGAUAAGGGGACACCGAGUGCCAGCAUCAUAUGUUGGCUGUCCAGAUGUGUAAAAUACAUCUGUUAGCAAGGGCCGGGCAAGACCGGUGCCAGCCGCCGCGGUAACACCGGCGGCCCGAGUGGUGAUCGUGAUUAUUGGGUCUAAAGGGUCCGUAGCCGGUUUGGUCAGUCCUCCGGGAAAUCUGACGGCUCAACCGUUAGGCUUUCGGUGGAUACUGCCAGACUUGGAACCGGGAGAGGUAAGAGGUACUACAGGGGUAGGAGUGAAAUCUUGUAAUCCCUGUGAGACCACCUGUGGCGAAGGCGUCUUACCAGAACGGGUUCGACGGUGAGGGACGAAAGCUGGGGGCACGAACCGGAUUAGAUACCCGGGUAGUCCCAGCCGUAAACGAUGCUCGCUAGGUGUCAGGCAUGGCGCGACCGUGUCUGGUGCCGCAGGGAAGCCGUGAAGCGAGCCACCUGGGAAGUACGGCCGCAAGGCUGAAACUUAAAGGAAUUGGCGGGGGAGCAAAUCCCGCGGCCA
rnacentral:rRNA from 1 species